rnacentral:rRNA from 1 species
GACGAACGCUGGCGGCGUGCUUAACACAUGAAAGUCGAGCGGAAAGGCCCUUCGGGGUACUCGAGCGGCGAACGGGUGAGUAACACGUGAGUAACCUGACCCAGACUUUGGGAUAACCCUCGGAAACGGGGGCUAAUACCGGAUACGACACAGCUUCCCAUUGGGUCUGGGGGGAAGGUUUUUCGGUUUGGGAUGGGCUCGCGGCCUAUCAGCUUGUUGGUGGGGUGAUGGCGUACCAAGGCGACGACGGGUAGCCGGCCUGAGAGGGCGACCGGCCACACUGGGACUGAGACACGGCCCAGACUCCUACGGGAGGCAGCAGUGGGGAAUAUUGCACAAUGGGCGGAAGCCUGAUGCAGCGACGCCGCGUGCGGGAUGACGGCCUUCGGGUUGUAAACCUCUUUCAGCAGGGACGAAGCGUAAGUGACGGUACCUGCAGAAGAAGCGCCGGCCAACUACGUG